rnacentral:rRNA from 1 species
AGAGAGAGACAUGCGUGCAUAUCAAUAAGCGGAGGAAAAGAAACUAACAAGGAUUCCCCUAGUAACGGCGAGUGAAGCGGGAAGAGCUCAAAUUUGAAAUCUUAAAGGGUUUCCCUUUACGAGUUGUAGUUUAAAGAAGUGUUUUCUGUUGAGGUUUUGGUAAAAGUUCUUUGGAAUAGGACAUCAUAGAGGGUGAGAAUCCCGUAUUUGACCUUUACUUUCAACUUUGUGAUACACUUUCAAAGAGUCGGAUUGUUUGGGAAUGCAGUCCAAAAUGGGUGGUAAAUUUCAUCUAAAGCUAAAUAUUGGCGAGAGACCGAUAGCGAACAAGUACCGUGAGGGAAAGAUGAAAAGAACUUUGAAAAGAGAGUUAAACAGUACGUGAAAUUGUCAAAAGGGAAGCGUUUGACACCAGUGUUGUUUUUCCGAAAAUCAAUUAAAGAACUGUUUAUGCUAAGCUGUUUAGACUUUAUCAGCUAACUGUUUAGUUUUGAGCUUUUCUUUAAUGCACUUUUCAGUUAACAAGUCAACAUCAAUUUCUUUUGCUGUAAAAAAGCUUGAGGAAGGUGGCUUGAGAUUCGUCUUAAGUGUUUAUAGCCUCUUGCCUAUGCAGUCGGAGAGAUUGAGGUCUGCAGCGUAGAUCCUUCGGGGCUAAAUGCAUUUGUGCUAAGUUAUAACAUUUUAUAGACAACUUGUUGACUAUGAUUUGUCUUGUAGCUUACUCGCUUAUGUUAUUUUACCUACGCUUAGGAUGUUGACGCAUGAGAUAUACGC